GACGAACGCUGGCGGCGUGCUUAACACAUGCAAGUCGAACGGAAAGGCCCUGCUUUUGUUGGGUGCUCGAGUGGCGAACGGGUGAGUAACACGUGAGUAACCUGCCCUUGACUUUGGGAUAACUUCAGGAAACUGGGGCUAAUACCGGAUAGGAGCUCCUGCUGCAUGGUGGGGGUUGGAAAGUUUCGGCGGUUGGGGAUGGACUCGCGGCUUAUCAGCUUGUUGGUGGGGUAGUGGCUUACCAAGGCUUUGACGGGUAGCCGGCCUGAGAGGGUGACCGGCCACAUUGGGACUGAGAUACGGCCCAGACUCCUACGGGAGGCAGCAGGGGGGAAUAUUGCACAAUGGGCGGAAGCCUGAUGCAGCAACGCCGCGUGCGGGAUGACGGCCUUCGGGUUGUAAACCGCUUUCGCCUGUGACGAAGCGUGAGUGACGGUAAUGGGUAAAGAAGCACCGGCUAACUACGUG
rnacentral:rRNA from 1 species